AUGCCUACAGUUGCUCCACGUCGCUGGUGCGACGUCCCGCCCCCGUCUACUCCACCCGACUGCGUAACCCCAUCUCCGCCGCGAGCCCCAGCCAGAUCCUGCUCCGCCUCCAUCCCUCCUGCCGCACCGGUGUGGCUUUUUGGGACGGCAAAGAAGCUACACGCACAUCCCUUAUGUGGUCCCCUGGUGUCGUGUUUUAUUCAAAUCAGUCAACUCGUCCAUCAUACAUUGUUGCAACCCCAAUGGGAACUGAAAAACAUGCUCUGUGACAGUGAGAUGGACAUGGCCCUGGUUGAUGUUGGGCAUGGUGUGCAUCAUGAGAUUGAGCAUCUUAUGUCUUGUGUUCUUGUCAUCAACAUGGAAGCAAACUAG
rnacentral:rRNA from 1 species